rnacentral:tRNA from 1 species
UGGCUCAGUUGGUAGAGCAUGGUGUUUGCAACGCCAGGGUUGUGGAUUCGAUUCUCAC